AGUGAACGCUGGCGGUAGGCCUAACACAUGCAAGUCGAACGGCAGCACAGUAAGAGCUUGCUCUUACGGGUGGCGAGUGGCGGACGGGUGAGGAAUACAUCGGAAUCUACUUUUUCGUGGGGGAUAACGUAGGGAAACUUACGCUAAUACCGCAUACGACCUACGGGUGAAAGCAGGGGAUCUUCGGACCUUGCGCGAUUGAAUGAGCCGAUGUCGGAUUAGCUAGUUGGCGGGGUAAAGGCCCACCAAGGCGACGAUCCGUAGCUGGUCUGAGAGGAUGAUCCGCCAAACUGGAACUGAGACACGGUCCAGACCCCUACGGGAGGCAGGAGGGGGGAAUAUUGGACAAUGGGCGCAAGCCUGAUCCAGCCAUACCGCGUGGGUGAAGAAGGCCUUCGGGUUGUAAAGCCCUUUUGUUGGGAAAGAAAAGCAGCAGGUUAAUACCCCGCUGUUCUGACGGUACCCAAAGAAUAAGCACCGGCUAACUUCGG
rnacentral:rRNA from 1 species